rnacentral:rRNA from 1 species
UACGUAGGGCGCGAGCGUUGUCCGGAAUUAUUGGGCGUAAAGAGCUCGUAGGCGGCCUGUUGCGUCCGCUGUGAAAUCCCGGGGCUCAACCCUGGGCGUGCAGUGGAUACGGGCAGACUAGAGUGUGGUAGGGGGAGACUGGAAUUCCUGGUGUAGCGGUGGAAUGCGCAGAUAUCAGGAGGAACACCGGUGGCGAAGGCGGGUCUCUGGGCAGUAACUGACGCUGAGGAGCGAAAGCGUGGGGAGCGAACAGG